UACAUUCUCCAUGGAGCAGCCUGGUGGUACCCUAGACCUGACCUUGAUUCGUGCUUGUCUCCAAGAGAAGCUGUCACCUCCUUAUAGCUCCCCCCAGGAGUUUGCCCAGGAUGUGGGCCACAUGUUCAAAGAGUUCAAUAAGCUGACUGAGGACAAGGCAGAUGUUCAGUCCAUCAUCGGCCUGCAGUGCUUGAGACACAUGAAUGAUGCCUUUGGUGACACCAAACUUUCUGCUGUGCUGGUAGAACCACCACCACUGAACCUUCCCAGUGCUGGCCUAAGUUCUCAGAAGCUGUCUGGUCCUGGUGAUGGACCCUGAAGCUGGGGCUCUUGUGGUCAGCCCAGUCCAGCACUGGUUUCUGUAUUUUCAACCCAUACCCUGUCCUUCCUUUGGUAGCCUGACUACCUGUUCUUGCUGGCCCCAUCCCUCAGUCCCUCCUCAGAAAAUGGUCUUUACUUCUGCGGAUUUAAUAAAAACUUCACUGAGUCAGU
rnacentral:lncRNA from 1 species